GACGAACGCUGGCGGCGUGCCUAAUACAUGCAAGUCGAACGCAGUGGGGACGGGUGAGUAACACGUGGGUAACCUCCCGUCUGAGGGGAUAACACUUGGAUACAAGUGCUAAAACCGCUAUGGGUGGAUGGAGCCGCUGGGCAUUAGGGAGUUGGUGGGGUAACGGCUCACCAAGGCCACGAUGCUUAGCCGGCCUGAGAGGGUGAUCGGCCACACUGGAACUGAGACACGGCCCAGACUCCUACGGGAGGCAGCAGUAGGGAAUCUUCGGCAAUGGACGAAAGCCUGACCGAGCAACGCCGCGUGAGUGAAGAAGGUUUUCGGGUCGUAAAGCUCUGUUGUGAGAGAAGCGGUAUCUAACCAGAAAGCCACGGCUAACUACGUGCCAGCAGCCGCGGUAAUAC
rnacentral:rRNA from 1 species